rnacentral:rRNA from 1 species
AGUCGAGCGAGCUUGCCUAGAUGAUUUUAGUGCUUGCACUAAAUGAAACUAGAUACAAGCGAGCGGCGGACGGGUGAGUAACACGUGGGUAACCUGCCCAAGAGACUGGGAUAACACUUGGAAACAGAUGCUAAUACCGGAUAACAACACUAGACGCAUGUCUAGAGUUUGAAAGAUGGUUCUGCUAUCACUCUUGGAUGGACCUGCGGUGCAUUAGCUAGUUGGUAAGGUAACGGCUUACCAAGGCAAUGAUGCAUAGCCGAGUUGAGAGACUGAUCGGCCACAUUGGGACUGAGACACGGCCCAAACUCCUACGGGAGGCAGCAGUAGGGAAUCUUCCACAAUGGACGAAAGUCUGAUGGAGCAACGCCGCGUGAGUGAAGAAGGGUUUCGGCUCGUAAAGCUCUGUUGGUAGUGAAGAAAGAUAGAGGUAGUAACUGGCCUUUAUUUGACGGUAAUUACUUAGAAAGUCACGGCUAACUACGUGCCAGCAGCCGCGGUAAUACGUAGGUGGCAAGCGUUGUCCGGAUUUAUUGGGCGUAAAGCGAGUGCAGGCGGUUCAAUAAGUCUGAUGUGAAAGCCUUCGGCUCAACCGGAGAAUUGCAUCAGAAACUGUUGAACUUGAGUGCAGAAGAGGAGAGUGGAACUCCAUGUGUAGCGGUGGAAUGCGUAGAUAUAUGGAAGAACACCAGUGGCGAAGGCGGCUCUCUGGUCUGCAACUGACGCUGAGGCUCGAAAGCAUGGGUAGCGAACAGGAUUAGAUGCCCUGGUAGUCCAUGCCGUANACGAUGAGUGCUAAGNGUUGGGAGGUUUCCGCCUCUCAGUGCUGCAGCUAACGCAUU